rnacentral:tRNA from 1 species
ACCAGGAUAGCUCAGUUGGUAGAGCAGAGGACUGAAAAUC